GCUGGGCAUGGUGGUGCGUGCCUGUAGUCCCAGCUACUUGGGAGGCUGAGGUGGGAGAAUCGCUUGAGCCCAGGGGUUCUGGGCUGUAGUGAGCUAUGCCGAUCAGGUGCCCACACUAAGUUCAGCAUCAGUAUGGUGACCUCCUGGGAGCGGGGGACCACCAGGUUGCCUAAGGAGGGGUGAACUGGCCCAGGUCGGAAAUGGAGCAGGUCAAAACUCCCGUGCUGAUCAGUAGUGAGAUCGCGCCUGUGAAUAGCCACUGCACUCCACACUCCAGCCUGGGCAACAUAGCAAGAGCCCGUCUCU
rnacentral:SRP_RNA from 1 species